rnacentral:rRNA from 1 species
UACAGAGGGUGCAAGCGUUGUUCGGAAUUAUUGGGCGUAAAGCGCGUGUAGGCGGCUUUGCAAGUCGGGUGUGAAAGCCCUCAGCUCACUGAGGAAGUGCGCCCGAAACUGCAGAGCUUGAGUACCGGAGAGGGUGGCGGAAUUCCCCAAGUAGAGGUGAAAUUCGUAGAUAUGGGGAGGAACACCGGUGGCGAAGGCGGCCACCUGGACGGUCACUGACGCUGAGGCACGAAAGCGUGGGGAGCAAACAGG